UUCCCCAGUAAAGUCAUCAGUGAGACCAAGCCUCCAGCACAGCUCAAAACCAGCCUUCUCAACUCUGUUUACAACAGCACAACCACAGAGUCUGGGUGUGGGUCAAAGCUCCAUAUGUACAGCAAUCCACACACUCGUGGAAUCAUGGAAUGGUUUGGGUGAGAAGGGCCCUUAAAGCUCAUCUCAUUCCACCCCUCUGCCACUGGCAGGGAUGCCACUCACUAGGACAGGUCCCUUCUAGAUUUGAUUUUAGUCUUUCAGACUCAAUCAUCUGGAAGUGCUGAAGCUCAGAAAGAGAAGUUGAGAUGAACAGUCCCUCUCUGGCUUCCCUGUAGUCCCUUCACAUCCUGGAAUGUUCUCUGAGGUGUCCAUGCAACCUUCCCUUCUCCAGGAUGAACAGCCCCAGUUCUCCCUGUUUCCACAAGGGAGGUGCCUCCUAUCAAAUACAGGAAGUGCAAGACAGACCAAAGGCACUGUGGCUGUGCUGCUGAGUGACACCACUGACAGAAGCACAUGGGAAUUUGGUGUCCACCUCUGACCUGUCCUUUCAGGAGCUUGUGCACCAGCUUUGGAAUGAAGCCAACCACCACUGUGAGGAACACACACCACUACUCCAGUGCACAAGCAAUGACACACUCCUCUCAAAUGAAAAGGUCAGAGGCUGCAGCAAGGAAGAACCAGCCAAACUUGUACCAAACCAACCAAGACCUAAAAUAAAGGGAAAACACAAGCAC